rnacentral:lncRNA from 1 species
UGGCUUGUGUGAUUGUAGCUUGAGAAGGAUGUGCGAAAGCGGCUUGAGAAGGCUGUGUGAAAGCGGCUUGAGAAGGCUGUGCGAAAGCGGCUUGAGAAGGCUGUGCGAAAGCGGCUUGAGAAGGUUGUGUGUAAGCAAUUCGAGAAGGUUGUGUGAAAGCGGGUUGAGAAGGUUGUGUGAAAGACGGUUGAGAAGGCUGUGUGAGCAUAAAAGCAGCUUGAGAAGGAUGUGUAGCAGCACCUUGACAAGGUUGUGUGACUGGAGGUCGA